AAUGAACGCUGGCGGCGUGGAUUAGGCAUGCAAGUCGAACGCGAAAGUUCCCUUCGGGGAGCGAGUAGAGUGGCGAAAGGGUGAGUAAUGCUUGGAUGACCUGCCCUCGAGACGGGGACAACAGUUCGAAAGGACUGCUAAUACCCGAUAGUCCGGUUUAGAUGCGUCUAGAUCGGUAAAUGGUGCUUCCGCUCGAGGAGGGGUUCAAGUCCUAUCAGCUUGUUGGUGAGGUAACGGCUCACCAAGGCGAUGACGGGUAGCCGGACUGAGAGGUUGGCCGGCCACAUGGGAACUGAGACACUGUCCUGACUCCUACGGGAGGCUGCAGUCGAGAAUCUUCU
rnacentral:rRNA from 1 species